GGUAGUUAAGCGCUUGGCUGCUAACCAAAAGGUCGGUGGUUCGAACCUACCAGCUGCUG
rnacentral:tRNA from 1 species